AACGAACGCUGGCGGCAGGCUUAACACAUGCAAGUCGAACGGGCACCUUCGGGUGUCAGUGGCAGACGGGUGAGUAACGCGUGGGAACGUGCCCUUCGGUUCGGAAUAACUCAGGGAAACUUGAGCUAAUACCGGAUAAGCCCUUACGGGGAAAGGUUUACUGCCGAAGGAUCGGCCCGCGUCUGAUUAGCUAGUUGGUGAGGUAACGGCUCACCAAGGCGACGAUCAGUAGCUGGUCUGAGAGGAUGAUCAGCCACACUGGGACUGAGACACGGCCCAGACUCCUACGGGAGGCAGCAGUGGGGAAUAUUGGACAAUGGGCGAAAGACCUGAUCCAGCCAUGCCGCGUGAGUGAUGAAGGCCCUAGGUUGUAAAG
rnacentral:rRNA from 1 species